GCAAAGUCUCUGUGCAUCGAGUUCCUCAUUUCUCACAGAGGAUUGCGGAUGCCUCCUCCCUAGGGAUGAGUCCAGGACGAAGGGAGAUUGGGCUUUAAAAUAGCUAUGGCAGGUCCUAACACACGGAUAGUAGAUUGGCUCAUUUCUUCCUUCCUGAGCAGAAAGUAACACUCUCCUCCUAGGUAAUCUAGCAAGCCUGGGGCUGCAAGGGCUAGACUCAACUUGGAGGGAGAGGGAUUUCACACAGAACCCUCUUUCUGACUCUGGCUUUAACACAGAUUACAAGGAAUGGGGUCAGUCUGUAGGAGGCUUGUCAUUUGGGUCCACUACAAUCCUUCAAGCCACGAGACUGGAAACACACUGCUCCUAGUUACCUGGAACCAGAGAAAGAUGCAUCUGAUGGGGUUGACUGACAACACUUAGGCACGUGGACACUGGUGGAGUAGUUCUUCUCCCUUCCAAACAGUCUGGUUUUCUCCAGCAGGGGCAGAACUCCUGCUGCCAGAGAAAGGACCCUUCACUGAAAGAGCUGGAUGAGGCAUCAGCAAGAGGCUUUCAAUCCAGACAAGUAAGGAGGAAGGCAGUGGACCAACCUCAUUCUUCAAACAAUACUUCCACUCAGGUGGCAGGACUCCAGGGGGAAGCUUCUUUGGACAGGGAGGUGAGUGAACACAUCCACUUCUGUCUCCUGGGGGCCGUAUUGUUGAGUCCUAGCGACUGCUAACAUCAGUUACCUCAUCACUACUUAGGAGCACCUUUGAAAACAGGGAUUACUGGCUUUGGAAAAACCUAGUCAGUUUCUUUAUCUGCUGUUGAUGGAAAAGAUUAAUAUCAAAAUGAAGAUUGAAAGAUUUGGAGCACUUUCAUGAUUAUAUAACUGCUUCUAGGCAUGGGAUGCAGAUGUUGUGCCCAUUUUAGAUAAACUGCAAAACUGUGGAAAGCUGUAGCUGGAAAGAUCUUCAAGAUUUUGACCCUCGGUCUGCAUCAUCACUGAGAUGGAUGUUGUGAAGGGACCCAAACUACCUUCCUCAGUACAACCAUUAGGUUCUUUCUGGCAAAUGUCUUUAGUUUUUAAUAUUCGAAACUGGUGAGAUUUAUAUGCUACUGCUUGCAACUUCCUAGUAGAUUAUGGAAGCAAGUUUCAGACCAAAUGUCCUGGUACAUAUUCACAUUUAAUCACAAGCAGACCUCAAAAUGACCAGAUCUGAUCUUUGAGAUCCUCUGACCAUUGUUAAGGAAAAAAUUAUCCAUGACGCUUGUUAAAACAGUAAGGCAGACCUUAUUCAGGAUUACUGAGAGAGGUAUAGGGACUAAUGCAGUAGGGUUUCACUGUAAAAGGGAGAGAUUGGGCUCAACUUCUCUAAUACAACAAGGAAAGGUAGGAAUUUAUAGGUAAGGAACAGUGUGUGUUGGAGGGGCUGGAGUGCUGGUGGAUAGAAAAUUACUAAGAGCAACCAUCAAGGGUUGGGGGGUGGUUCUGGCGAAAUCAGCCUGGUGGGAUUCUUAGUGAAGGCUGGCCAGAAGGAAACGGUGGAGGAUGAAGAAUCUAAUUCGAUAUGGAGAGUGAUCAAAUGUGGAGGUUGGGAGGUUCUCAAAAUCAGACUUAGCAAGAUUCUUGCUAAAAUUGGGCUCUUAAGGACAUGACCAAGGUUAGAAAAAGAGCUCAGAGGUACCCAACUAGUUUGGUCAAGAAGAG
ensembl:lincRNA